CCUACGGGGGGCAGCAGUGGGGAAUAUUGGACAAUUGGGGCAACCCUGAUCCAGCCAUGCCGCGUGUGUGAAGAAGGCCCUCGGGUUGUAAAGCACUUUCAGUGAGGAAGAACGCCUGGUGGUUAAUACCCAUCAGGAAAGACAUCACUCACAGAAGAAGCACCGGCUAACUCCGUGCCAGCAGCCGCGGUAAUACGGAGGGUGCGAGCGUUAAUCGGAAUUACUGGGCGUAAAGCGCGCGUAGGUGGCUUGAUAAGCCGGUUGUGAAAGCCCCGGGCUCAACCUGGGAACGGCAUCCGGAACUGUCAAGCUAGAGUGCAGGAGAGGAAGGUAGAAUUCCCGGUGUAGCGGUGAAAUGCGUAGAGAUCGGGAGGAAUACCAGUGGCGAAGGCGGCCUUCUGGACUGACACUGACACUGAGGUGCGAAAGCGUGGGUAGCAAACAGGAUUAGAUACCCUAGUAGUC
rnacentral:rRNA from 1 species